UACGUAGGUGGCAAGCGUUGUCCGGAUUUAUUGGGUUUAAAGGGUGCGUAGGCGGUCUAUUAAGUCAGUUGUGAAAUACGGCAGCUCAACUGUCGAGGUGCAAUUGAUACUGAUGGACUUGAGUACUGAUGAGGUAAGCGGAAUGGACGGUGUAGCGGUGAAAUGCUUAGAUAUCGUCCAGAACACCGAUAGCGAAGGCAGCUUACUAAGGAGUAACUGACGCUGAGACACGAAAGUGUGGGGAUCAAACAGG
rnacentral:rRNA from 1 species